GAUGAACGCUGGCGGCGUGCCUAAUACAUGCAAGUAGAACGCUGAAGGAAGGAGCUUGCUCUUUCCGGAUGAGUUGCGAACGGGUGAGUAACGCGUAGGUAACCUGCCUGGUAGCGGGGGAUAACUAUUGGAAACGAUAGCUAAUACCGCAUAACAGUAGAUGUUGCAUGAUAUCUACUUAAAAGGUGCAAUUGCACCACUACCAGAUGGACCUGCGUUGUAUUAGCUAGUUGGUGAGGUAACGGCUCACCAAGGCGACGAUACAUAGCCGACCUGAGAGGGUGAUCCGCCAAACUGGGACUUGGGCACGGCCCAGACUCCUAAGGGAGGCAGCAGUAGGGAAUCUUCGGCAAUGGACGGAAGUCUGACCGAGCAACGCCGCGUGAGUGAAGAAGGUUUUCGGAUCGUAAAGCUCUGUUGUAAGAGAAGGACGAGUGUGAGAGUGGAAAGUUCACACUGUGACGGUAUCUUACCAGAAAGGGACGGCUAACUACGCG
rnacentral:rRNA from 1 species